rnacentral:lncRNA from 1 species
CAUACUUUUUGACUGUUCAAUGCAUUGAUGGUCAAUAGAUUUGUUGAGCAUGCCAUUUGUAUGUUCAUUGGACAUUUAAGUGUCCCUUAGUGGGUGAGUUAUGGAAUGCAAUAAUUGUUGCGUAAUGUCGGAUUUUAAAGGAACCACCACAUGAUUCUUGAGAUAGAUUAUAUGACACCCCGCACCUUUGUGCUUCAAGUGGUAUUAAGACUCCAGUUUAUUCGGGUCAUUGGGCAUUAAAUUUCUGUGAUAUAAUAUUUAUUUGUUUAUUUUAUUUUGGAUUUCUACCAUUUUUUCUUAAUUUAUCAAAAUUUAUUUUAGUUCGUUUUGUUUUUAAAUUUAAAAGAGAGAAAAAAAGAAAAUUUGGAAAAAAUUACUACUGAAAAAGCCUAGCCCCCGCAGGCAUGCCUAGAUGCCUGAGUAGGGAUGCCCGUGCGCCUGUGGACACGCGUGCCCGGCCAGCUUGGCGUGUGCCUAUAAGCCGGGUGCCCGCGUUGCACCCUAUCUUCACGUGAAUCCCACACACAAGCAUGCACGUCAGACGCGCUGCUUAGGGCGCGCGGGCUUGUAGCGUCAGGUGUGCACUUAUGUGAUGCGGCUGCGUAGGACUCAUUUGCCACGCAUGUCAGUGCACGAGCCAGGCCUAGCUUGUCGCGUGUGGCAUACUUGGACCAUGUGCGGUGCUUCGAGCCC